AUGUCUACGUGCAGCCUGGAGCAGUCCAUUGGGGUAAUCAAGUCUAACCUCCUCCUUUACUCAGAACAGGGCUUCCCCAUCAUGAUCCCUACACUUGACUCCUUGAUUUUGCUUGCUUUAGAUUGUCUCUUUCCAAUGGUCUGUUCCCCAGUCUGGGAAUUUCACACCACAGAGAGCCUGCUGCCUCCCCGGGAGCUGCCCUGCAGAGAGGAUUGAAAGUUGCCGUUGGUUAUUGCCUUCAUCUGUGCUCCUGUGGCAAAUAUCCAGGCAAUGAAUCCAACCAGCCCUGCUCCAUUAAUGAACCCUGAGAAGAUCAAAGAUGGGAGCACAAGAUGAAGUGUCUGCUUUACAGCUCUUAAAAGCUUAAGAAAAAUGAAAACACAUACAAGGAACCGAUAUGAGGCCAAUUUUACUGAAGAUGGAAAACUAAACUCAAAGGUGAAAUUCUGUGCCAGACAAUGUUUCUUUGUGUCCACAUUUCAUCUUCCUUCCUCAGAUGCAUUAUGACAGAAUCUAAUUAUAGCAUUACACAAUUUUCACCAGACAGGUGUGUUGCUUUUUAUAUUGAAGCAGCACAGCCAAUAUUUAUUGUUUUUUUAUUCACUUGCUUUUAUUCAGCUUUCUGCCAUUCCAGGUUUUAUUGCCUACACGCUAUUUAGAUGAGGACUGAUCUCUUUUCAAGUUGAUGAAGGCCACGGAAUUCAGUUGUUGGAUGGUGACAGGACCCAUCCCACCUAGCAGAGAGGUGCAGGAGGUGGUUGGGAAGCAAUCAUUGCCAGGGUCAGAUAGCAGCCCUCCAGAACCUCCAGGUUCUUCUAGCAGAAGAGAUGGGUUCACAACUGAGCCUCAGGGAACCCUGAAAGUGCUACUUCAGCUGUUGUUCCUGUAGCAGGGAUUAAAGUUGCUGAAAAGUGCCUGUAUUAGCAAAGCCUGGAUACUGGAUGUGGAAAACAGCCAUGUGAAAUAAGGAGUUUUACCUGCAGGCUCUACCAGAUCCAGUUGUCCAAGUUUUUGCUUCUCAGACUACAAAUGGGCAGCAGAAAUUCAGGCAUAACAGCAGUAAAACAGUUCACCAAAACAAUAGCAGAUGAUCUAGAAAAGUAAAAAGAAAAAUAAAUGGGGGGGGGGGGGGAAGGUUUCA
rnacentral:lncRNA from 1 species